rnacentral:rRNA from 1 species
AUUGAACGCUGGCGGCAGGCCUAACACAUGCAAGUCGAACGAGUGGCGGACGGGGGAGUAAUGUCUGGGAAACUGCCUGAUGGUGGGGGAUAACUACUGGUAACGGUAGCUAAUACCGCAUACCAUCAGAUGUGCUCAGAUGGGAUUAGCUAGUUGGUGGGGUAACGGCUGACCAAGGCGACGAUCCCUAGCUGGUCUGAGAGGAUGACCAGCCACACUGGAUCUGAGACACGGUCCAGACUCAUGCGGGAGGCAGCAGUGGGGAAUAUUACACUAAGGGCGCAAGCCUGGUGCGGCCAUGCCGCGUAUAUGAAGAAGGCCUUCGGGUGGUAAAGGUCUUUCAGCGUGGGAGCGUUACCCGGAGAAGAAGCACCGGCUAACUCCGUGCCAGCAGCCGCGGUAAUAC